GUGCUGCGGACAAUUUUCGCACCAUGGUCCUCACGCUUUCGAGUUUUUUUUUUUUUUUCUCGCCUUCUUUGUGGCUCGGCAAAUUUCUCUCCUUCACGGAGAUGGCAUCUCCUUGACGAAAAAGCAGUUUUUUCAUCUACUCCGAUCAGUAUCAGGUAGAUUGAUUACUUUUGAAGUUCAUUUGCUAGCAUUUGCCUCGAAUGGGAGAAAUCUGUCUCAAUAGUGAGCCAUUGGCUGAAGAUGGAGCAGAUAAGCCAGAUGCGGAGGAAACAGAUUGUGGAAACUCGGAGUCCACAGGUGAAAACCAUGUGAGGAAGGAGGAGCCUGUGCCACCAGGUUUAGGGAUGGAGUUUGAGUCAUUUGAAGAUGCCUAUGAAUUUUAUAAUAAGUAUGCUGAAAAAGUGGGAUUUGGGAUUAGAAUAAGAAGUUCUUAUUUUAAGAAACAGAGUAAAGAGAAGUAUGCUGCAGUUCUUUGUUGUAGUUGUGAGGGUUUUAAAAGAUCACUACAGUCUCACAAUAAAAGACCAGAAGUAAGGACUGGUUGUCAAGCAAUGGUGAGGAUCAAAUUGAGGGAGUCCAAGGGAUGGCAAGUGAUUGAAGUUAAGCUUGAGCAUAAUCAUGUGACUAAUCCAGCAGGUUCACAAUUCUACAGAUCACAUAAGAGUGCUGGUUCUGGAACUAAAGGAAAAUUGCAAUUGACUUGUGAUGCUGGAAUACAUACAUGUAAGUAUCAGUCAAUUAAUGGCAAAGAUGUUAGUGUAGUUCAAUGCAAGUGCUCAAAGCUUGAAAAAGGAGAUGCACAAGCUGUUUAUGAAUUCCUUUGCCGCAUGCAGCAAAAAAGUCCCAACUUCUUUUAUUUGAUGGAUCUUGAUGAAGAUGGACGGUUGGGAAAUGUGUUUUGGGCUGAUGCAAGGUGUAGGGCUGCAUGUGAAUACUUUGGGGAUGUUGUUGCAUUUGAUACAACAUAUCUGACACACAAAUAUGAUUUGCCAUUUGCGCCAUUUGUUGGAGUAAAUAACCAUGGGCAGUAUGUGCUGUUGGGUUGUGGUUUACUUCUAGAUAAAACAUCUGAGUCAUUUAUAUGGUUAUUCAAGGCAUGGCUUGCAUGUAUGUCAGGUCGCAUUCCUAAUGCUAUAAUAACUGAUCAAUGUAAAGUUUUAAAAAAGGCAGUUAUGGAAGUAUUCCCUGGAGCCUGUCACCGACUGUGUUUAUGGCACAUCAUGCAAAAAGUUCCAGAAAAAUUGCAAAAUUUGCGUGAAUAUAGAGCAGUUAAAAGGGCAAUGGAGAGAGCAGUCUAUGAUUCGUGGAGAGUGGAUGAGUUUGAAUUAGCUUGGGAGGACAUGAUUCAGCAAAAUGGAGUUGGGGAUAAUGAAUGGCUUCAAACAUUGUAUGAAUAUCGACAUCAGUGGGUGCCAGCUUUUCUCAAGGGCACAAGUUUUGCAGGAAUGUCAACCACCCAAAGAAGUGAAAGCAUAAAUUCAUAUUUUGAUGGAUUUGUGCAUGCAAGAACCUCGCUCAAGGAGUUCCUUGAUAAUUAUGAGCUUGCUUUAGAGAAGAGGCGUUCUGAAGAAUUCCAGGCAGAUCUUUCAUCAAUCCACUCAAAGCCUGUGUUGAAGACAAGAAGUUACUAUGAAAAACAACUCUCUGAAGUGUACACAAUGAAUAUGUUCAAGAAAUUCCAAAAUGAGGUGGAAGAGAUGCUUUCGUGUUUUAACACGACACAAGUACAUGUUGAUGGGCCAGUCAUAACUUAUACUGUCAAGGAACGUGCUGAGGGAAAUGAGAGUGAGAUCAAGGAUUAUGAAGUUCUUUACAAUACCGUUGAAGUGGAGGUUCAUUGCAUUUGCAAUCAAUUUAACUUUAAAGGGUACUUAUGUAGACAUGCACUUAGUGUCCUCCACUAUAAUGGAAUUGAAGAAAUCCCGUCUCGAUACAUUUUGCCACGUUGGAGGAAGGAUUUUAAAUGCAUUUAUGUACUGGAAAAUAGCGCAAAUGAUGUUGAUGUUGAUGACCCAGUGACAUGGUAUGAUCAAUUGUACAAACGUGCUAUCCAAGUUGUGGAGGGAGGGGUGAUAUCUCAAGAACAUUUCAAGGUUGCUUUGCAAGCACUAGAAGAGUCAUUGAGUAAAGUUUAUGAUAUAAGGGCUUUUGGCUCAAAAAAGGCAUCCACUGUAGCACAACGUAAUCCAACAAAAAGUGAUAAUGCAAAAGAACCUUCACAAGUAAAGCGACGAGGUCGGCCGAAACAAAAUGGAUCCCAAUGUCUCACAGAUAAGGGAAGAAGUACUGAAAGAGCACCAGAGGUUGACAACCAACGUGCAGAAUCCAAUUUUCAAGUACAACCAAAUCUUGGCAACCCUAUUAGUACACCAGAGAGUAUAUAUCAACCAGAUUUGGUUGGGUUGCCUUGGGUUAUAGGUUUGGUUUUCAUGGUUUCCAUGUUUCAGGUUGCAGGUUUCAUGGUUCCAGGUGGUUUAAUGUCAUUUUCUGGUGAUCCCUCUCUCUCUCUGCAUUUCCCAGCAACUCUCUACCCAGCAUAGUGGAAGCCCUUCCAGGGACAAUUUUCACUAUCCAGCCAACUAUCCCUGGUCCACUUGAUCUCAUGGCCAGAUUUCUUGGUUGUGGUGGAAUAAUCUCUGAAAUCUGAUUGUUAUAUGGAAUUGAGUGAACCUGUAUUAUGAUAUUGAACAUUCUUAGAGAAUUUGAAAUGUGGAUGAAGGAAUCCUUAAUGGUGGAAGCACAGAUCAUUGGCCAUUCAUGAUUCUGCUUUUUGGGUCCUCCAUGGAAGUCUAACAAGCGCAUCUUCAAGAGCUGGUGAUACUCAAGUAUGGGGCUAACAUGGACUUAUGGAGAGGUAACAAUAUGUUUGUUAUCCAACAAUGUUGUGUUUCAAUUCUUCAUCUACAAUUGUAAGCACACUUAACAUUCCCACAUCAUUGCCUCCUGGAACCUUCAGGUUGACUUUAUCCAACCCACUUGAUGGCAUUCUGAUUUUGGCUCUCCCCCCCUUUUUUUCCAGCUUUGAUGGCAAUUUAGUCUUUUGUAUUUGUUUUAGUUUGAUUGUUUGCUAAUUUUGCUUUGUGCUUGGCCGAAGCCUUUGCUUGUUGGCUUCGGCCUCCCCUCCCCCUCUCUCCCUUGUAUAUUCUUCUCCUCUUGGUAAUGAAUUAUUUAUUCAUCCAAAAAAAAAAAAACAUUCACAUAUUUUAGGCUUGAGUCUUGAAAUUGCAAUAAACCCUGAAAGAAUGUUUAAUACAGUACCUCUUAAUCUUAUCUAAUGCAUCUAACUUCCCACUGGCUAACAUGGAAUCUGAGCAGCAUGAAAGCACCACUCCGAGGGCCACUCGUUAUUGGGUUCACAACACCUAAACAAAGAGCAGCUGUCGUGGAUGCAUCUACUGCAGUACCUCUUUCAUGCAGUACAUCCUGCCAAGUCAGGAGCACUUGACAAUAUGUGGUGCCGUAAGUAGUUCAUAUAUGUGCUUUGUGAGACUAACUGUUAAUCAUGAACUGGAAGAUAGUAAGGUAAUGAUUGCCCCACCACCAAGGGAGCUGCAAAAUUCACCAAUAGUUUAAGCUAACCAUUCAAAUGAUCAACAGUUACAGAUUUAUGGAGACUGGAUCCAUCAUACAGAAUUAUAAAGUGAUCACUAUAUCAAAGGCAUGAUUAAGACAUUGCUAGAGAACUGAACUCUGUACCAUAUUGCAACAAUUUAUAAUUGAAAAUUUUCUCAUUCAUUGUGAAUGUCAGGCUAUGUAGAAGAAUAGGAUGUUACAAAUGGUUCAUGUUGUGAUGAUCUAUGGCCAAGAGUCGACAGACCCCAAUAAUUUACAUGCAGUAUUGUCAGCUUCCUUCAUAAACAAAUCUGGUUGGAGAAACGAAUAAAAACUUGUAAAUGUGGAAGAACUUUUUACAUUAGUACCACAAGUUGCAAUGACAGGCCACAACUCAUCAUAAUUUUGCCCAAGGGUGUUAAAUGGCUUCCUUGGGUCUGCAUCAGGUAUCCUAUAUGCAAUCAAUACAAGUACAAAAGAAAUUUUGUUUGGUUUCGGUAAUUGUGAAACAAGAGUACUGGCUGGAACUUACUGUGUAUCAGUGCACUUUUGCUUUUGGUAAUCUUCCAAUUUACUAUAUCUUUACUAAGUGCAGUUCAGUUGUGAUGAAGAUGGAGAAACUUUCAGAAAGAUUUUUUAUGGCAAGGAGAAGUCCAAGGAGGAAAAUAUUUCAAUUGGUAGCAUUGGAUGAAAGUAUGGAGUUGUUUUGCCUAUUGCAGAACCCAAGAAAGUGGACUGCUCUUAUCCACUGAGGUUUUUGAAAUACAUGAAAAAUCUACAAGAGAAGUUUCUUAAUAGUUUGAGGUGGGUGAUGGAACAACAACAAAAGAAUUUGAAUGUGGGAGAUGAUUUUUGCGGCAAAAGAUUUCUGUGUGAUGGAAUGCGUUAUGUUUGGAGAUUCUGGUUGGGAGUGGAGCCUAUUUUUUAAUGUUUAAAAGGCUAGGUUAUAUGGAGCUGCAGGUGCAGGAGUAUUUUUUUCCCCAUUGCAGGUACUGGAGAAACAGCAGGUCUGAGUGAGAUUGUUGCGGCCCUUGGGUGAGUUAUAUUGUGAAAUCACUUUACCUAGACUUGGCUACUGCUGGUUUACAGGUUCUGUUCAAGAAUAUCUAGGAAAACUUAUUGCACCUCGAAUUAGAGUUGUUUUAUGUAAGGGAAGAGUUUUUCCUGGAGGACAAAUAUUAGCCACAAAGCAAUUUAUAUGGGGAUAAAUUUCUUUUGGAUAUAUAUGGGAAGCUAUAUGAUUGAAUUCUAAUAUGAAAUGAUCAAUCCAUAAAAAUCAUUCUUGGAUAUCCAUGGAUGGUAAUUAUGGUUCGAGGAA